GACGAACGCUGGCGGCGUGCUUAACACAUGCAAGUCGAACGGAAAGGCCCUGCUUUUGUGGGGUGCUCGAGUGGCGAACGGGUGAGUAACACGUGAGUAACCUGCCCUUGAAUUUGGGAUAUCUUCAGGAAACUCGGGCUAAUACCGGAUCGGAGCUCCUGCUGCAUGGUGGGGGUUGGAAAGUUUCGGCGGUUGGGGAUGGUCUCGCGGCUUAUCAGCUUGUUGGUGGGGUAGUGGCUUACCAAGGCUUUGGCGGGUAGCCGGCCUGAGAGGGUGACCGGCCACAAUGGGACUGAGGGACGGACCAGUCGCCUACGGGAGGCAGCAGGCGAGAAUAUUGCACAAUGGUCGGAAGCCUGAUGCAGCGACGCCGCGUGCGGGAUGACGUCCUUCGGGUGGAAAACCGCUUUCGCCUGUGACGAAGCGUGAAUGACGGUAAUUGGUAAAGAAGCACCGGCUAACUACGUG
rnacentral:rRNA from 1 species